rnacentral:rRNA from 1 species
UACGUAGGGGGCAAGCGUUGUCCGGAUUCAUUGGGCGUAAAGAGCUCGUAGGCGGCUUGGCAAGUCGGGUGUGAAAUCUCCAGGCUCAACCUGGAGGGGUCAUUCGAUACUGCCGUGACUAGAGUUCGGUAGGGGAGUGUGGAAUUCCUGGUGGAGCGGUGAAAUGCGCAGAUAUCAGGAGGAACACCCGUAGCGAAGGCGGCACUCUGGGCCGAUACUGACACUGAGGAGCGAAAGCGUGGGGAGCGAACAGG